UUUACAAGGUAGAGUAGUUUCGGGUUGAUCAAACCCGCCAAGAACAAAACUACGCGGCAAUUGCGCUACACCGGAGUAGCCUACAACCGCGCAAUCAAAGGCGUUGGUAAUUGUAGCUGUAUAUAGUUGUACUAAGUUCGAACUAUUGCCACACAGACGUAAUUAAUGCAACGGUGAUUCUUAUUGCUAUUGAUUUCUCGAUAAAGUUGCCAUUUACGUUGAAGCAAUCUAUGGUUAAAGCUGCAAUUGAGGGAGAAGAAUUUGAUACCUUGCAGAUUUUUGUCGACUUUCUAUGUUUCCUUCCAGGAGCUUGCUAAUUAGGUUACAACUUAUUGUGUUCAUAGGUAUUCUUGAAAAUAAGCGAUACCACUGUCACAUUUUCCACCAAGAUAGCAGAAAGGAAGAGUCAAGAUAAAAAGCCAAGACAGUCAUGGAAGUUGAGAUUUGCUGUUUGUUGAGGAUUCUGGCUUUGGAGGGCUGAGUAUUGGUUUGGUUAUAUGAGCCGUCGUGUGAAAUGAAGGGUGACUGAUGUAGUCCACAUGGAACUGGGGAACUAGAAACAUAACUUUGUUUUUGUUUUGUUUGCGAACAAACAAUAUUUUGUCAGGCCUUAUGUCUGGAUCCUACCCUCCAUUCUCUAAGUUUUCUUAUGAGUUAUCGAAUUACGUAGUUUGACAAGGAGUUUCAGCUUAAGAUUCACGACUCAUGCACCAGACCAGACUAGGGGAAACAGAACAGUUAGACUAUGAUGAAGCUAUAAAAAGUUUAGAAUCACUCAGAAUUAAAGAAUACACACACAUGGGUCUAAGCAGCUUAGUUUAUUAGAUUAUGUCUCUUAAUUAGUGGGAAGCCCACCGCCGUCCGACAGAAAAGAACUGGCCUUCCUCCCUACUGUUAGGGGCCAACUUGAUAGUAAGUAGCCUUUGAGUAAACAAAGUCCAUGUUCAGAUUCUGAUGACAUCUAAGUCAAAGUCAUUCAUGGUAAAUGAUUUUAAUAUACUUCAACUCAUCAUUCAGUAACAUGAGAAACCAAAUGAUUAAGUGUAAAAGUGUAGGCUGAUAGCCAUAAUGGUUUCAUUUUACAAUUAAAAAUUUAGCAUUACAGACUCUAAAAGCCAAAUACACUCUUUAGAGUUUCAAAGGCACCUGAGAAGAGUAGGGAAAAGCCACAGCUAUUAAACAAUACAACUAGUAGUUUAUUUAUAUCCAUCAUUUCUCCAGCGUUAACUUUUCCCUGAUGGUGGGGGUACUUUUCUUAGGGCUUUUGUAUUUAAAAUUUUUAAAAAGUGGAGUCUCUUGGUCUUAAAGAAAAUAGAGAAUUAGUGAUCAUGUUGCUGAUUGUAUUUCUGUUAAUUUUUUUUUAACCUGAAUACUGCAUAGUACGGAACAUGCAUUAAUAAUAUUGCAGUCCGUUGGCCACAAAUCUUUUCGAUUGUCUUACUAAAGUUGUUCUUAGUCAUGUGUUCAAUACUUCCUCUUGUAGAAGUAGAUUUGGGAUUUUGAAUCAAUAGGAUGACUAAUGCACUAAUUACUCUUUUCUGAUAAUGAGUGCGAAACCAAGAAUUUCAAUAAGGAUGUUCGCUAUUAAUAUAUAUGUAUAAUAAGUGAUAUUUGACCUAUGUACACAAUAUAAUUUUUCGACAAAUAGUGUUCAAUUGACCACCUUUUGCAGCUGUAGCUCCGUCCAUGAAUGAGUAAAAACAUAAUAUAAAUAUAAAUAUGCCUGCAUCUGCUGGUGAAGGCUACAUCUGCCUACAAUUUAUGAAUUUAUUGUGAAAAAUAAUACAGUACUAAUGGCCGAUUAAUAUGUAAACUAGUUGGUUGACUCUAGAAAGAUGAGCAAUGUUGAAUAAGAUGAGAUGAAAGGAGCACUAAGCUUUUGUUUGCCAAAUCGCUUUCAACACCCUCUGAUGAUAAACUCGUUUGAAACAUCCAAAUCAACAAUGGUCAAGUCAUUUUUUGGUUAAUGUCUUGACCAGAUUUUAGUUAUUGAAGUACAUAAACGUGUUACGUUGUGUUUUGCCACUGUCCAGUCCAUAGGAUAUAGUUGCUACUUGCUACUAUGUUAUCAUGUAUUGACAACCAAAACUUACUUUCCGCAAUAAUCAUGUUAUCGAUUAAUGCUUAUAAGAGAAAUUUACAUACAAUUGCCUUGCCUCCUAAGUGAUUUGAUUGUAUAAACCGGUCAUUAUGUCGAACUAAAACUCAAUAAUUAUUCCCAAUGGGGAGUAGUAGUUGCCUAUUGGGAAUGCUUUUUGUUGCUUCAAUACCUCUUGUCUGCCUCGAAAGUGAUAGCCAAAUAUUAAUUAGGCAAUAAGCACCAAGGAUGAAUAUUUCUUGACACCCAUGAAUAGUGCUAUCCAUUGUAAUAAGCAAGUUUUAUUUAGCUGUCACUCUUGUGGCUAUAACUGUCGCUCUUAAUUUUCUUAACACCUUGAAAUCUUCCUUAUCCGAACAAUUUCAUUAGAAGUGGUAAUUAGAUUUUGGACUGACAAAAUUUAGAGGUUUAAGAAUGAUUGGACAAGUUAUGAUUAGUGAAAUACAAUUCUAACACAAACUCAAUUAACUUUUCCCAAAACGUUGAGGUGGAGUUAAAACUGUAUCAUGUUUUAUAUGAAUAUUUAGCUAGGACAUGUUAUUUUUGCAAGUGGGAAUAGACUGUGGCAAGUCAACACAUGCUGUCAUUGGUAUGGAUUAUGAAAGUUGUUGUGGUAAGAAAUCUAUCUAUUCCCAUAGCAGAGAUUAAGACAUAAAAUACAAAAUUAAUUUUAAGUGUUAAACAGAUAUACCAUUUAGUAGUUUUAAUUUCACUUUGCAUCACGUUAAUGUAUAUAUGUUUUAUCUUAUAAAAAUGUUCUCCCUUUUAUCUUCUAAUUCGCAUUAUUCACGAACCUACUCGAGCCCAGCUCCCAAGAACUAAAAGAAUCCCAAGGUCCACUC